rnacentral:tRNA from 1 species
AAGGAUUUAAGUUAACCAAACUAAGAACCUUCAAAGUUCUAAAUAAAGAUAACUCCUCUUUAAGCCUUA